rnacentral:rRNA from 1 species
AUUGAACGCUGGCGGCGUGCUUAACACAUGCAAGUCGAACGGAGUGGCGAACGGGUGAGUAACACGUGGGUGACCUGCCCUGCACUUCGGGAUAAGCCUGGGAAACUGGGGCUAAUACCGGAUAGUGUGGGAUGGGCGCGCGGCCUAUCUGCUUGUUGGUGGGGUAAUGGCCUACCAAGGCGGCGACGGGUGGCCGGCCUGAGAGGGUGGACGGCCACAGUGUGACUGAGACACGGCCCAGACGGAUACGGGAGGCAGCAGUGGGGAAUAGUGCACAAUGGGCGGAAGCCUGAUGCAGCGACUCCGCGUGGGGGAUGACGGCCUUCGGGGUGUAAACUCCUUUCACCAUCGACGCGGUAGAUGGAGAAGAAGCACCGGCUAACUACGUGCCAGCCGCCGCGGUAAUAC